rnacentral:rRNA from 1 species
GACGAACGCUGGCGGCGUGCCUAGUACAUGCAAGUCGAGCGAAGUUUUUCUGGUGCUUGCACCGGAAAAACUUAGCGGCGAACGGGUGAGUAACACGUAAAGAACCUGCCUCAUAGACUGGGACAACUAUUGGAAACGAUAGCUAAUACCGGAUAAUAGCAUUAACUGCAUGGUUGAUGUUUAAAAGUUGGUUUUGCUAACACUAUGAGAUGGCUUUGCGGUGCAUUAGCUAGUUGGUGGGGUAAAGGCCUACCAAGGCGACGAUGCAUAGCCGACCUGAGAGGGUGAUCGGCCACACUGGGACUGAGACACGGCCCAGACUCCUACGGGAGGCAGCAGUAGGGAAUCUUCCGCAAUGGGCGAAAGCCUGACGGAGCAACGCCGCGUGAGUGAAGAAGGAUUUCGGUUCGUAAAGCUCUGUUGUUAGGGAAGAAUGAUUGUGUAGUAACUAUACACAGUAGAGACGGUACCUAACCAGAAAGCCACGGCUAACUACGUG